rnacentral:rRNA from 1 species
GAGCACGUAGGUGGGUUUGUAAGUCAGAUGUGAAAGCCUUCUGUUCAACGGAAGAAUUGCAUCUGAAACUGCUAAUCUUGAGUAUAGGAGGGGAGAAUGGAACUUCUGGUGGAGCGGUGAAAUGCGUAGAUAUCAGAAGGAACGCCGGCGGCGAAAGCGUUUCUCUGGCCUAUUACUGACACUCAGUGUGCGAAAGCUAGGGGAGCAAACGGGAUUAGAUACCCCGGUAGUCCUAGCCGUAAACGAUGGGCACUAAGUAGAGGGAAUUACCGAUGUUCUCUCUGCCGUAGCUAACGCAUUAAGUGCCCCGCCUGGGGAGUACGGCCGCAAGGCUAAAACUCAAAAGAAUUGACGGGGGCUCGCACAAGCGGUGGAGCAUGUGGCUUAAUUCGAUGCAACGCGAAAAACCUUACCGGGGCUUGACAUGAUAGAAGUAGGAACCUGAAAGGGGGACAAACGGUAUCCAGUCCGUAGCUAUUACAGGUGUUGCAUGGCUGUCGUCAGCUCGUGUCGUGAGACGUUGGGUUAAGUCCCCUAACGAGCGAAACCCUUGUUUUUAGUUACCAGCGGGUUAUGCCGGGUACUCUAGAAAGACUGCCGUCGUCAAGACGGAGGAAGGUGGGGAUGACGUCAAGUCAUCAUGGCCCUUAUGCCCCGGGCUGCACACGUGCUACAAUGGUCGGUACAAACGGAAGCGAAGCCGAGAGGUGAAGCGAAUCC